CAGCCCUAGUCAUUACUGUCAAUUUAUUUUGUUCAUUAAAAAAUUAUUGAUUUCUUUGUAAAUUCUCUACCAAUCAAAAAAAGGCAAGAUCCGUGAUUCCCCAAAUAGUAGGGGAAGAACACAACAGAUAUGUACAGUAGAAAAACUGGUAUAAAAAGUGAUGAUUUGGAUAUCAAAAGUCAGUCAAGAUCAAAGACGAGCGGUCAGUCGAUUCCAGGUCUUGAUCCGGAAAAGAAGCGGCCACAUUCUGUCUGGGAGUCAACAAGGGGACUCAGCCAGCGAGGACCAGCUGUUGCGAUUCAUCAGAUCCGGUUGAGAAACUGGAAAGAUUUUGUUGUAGCUGUGACCUUAUAUAAUGAUUUAUUGAAUUCUCGAACCUCAACUUCCCCUACACGAGAAUAAGAAGCGAAGUGCUUACGCUGACUACUCUCUUAUCGCUUAGAGAAAAGUAAACAGACAUAGAUUGUUCAGCCAUUGUCUGCUUGCAAUAGUAUUGGGUGGAAUUAACAUCCAACAUGCCAAGAUAAUAAUCUAAAAUAAAAUAAUGUAAAUAAAAUUGUAGCAUGCACAUGGAAUUUUUUAUUUAUAAAUAAAUCACCUAUGUAUAUACUAAAUAUAUAAACAAAAAACAUUAUUGUAGUUUCUCAGUUGGCAAAAAAAUUGAGUCUAAAAAUUCUAUCAUGACUGUCAGUGUUAUUUUUUUAUACCAAUGGUGGUAUGUGUUAAAAUAUUUUUUGAAAACAGCAUUUUGUAACCAAUCCAAAUAAAUAUUCUCCAUUGAAAACUGUUUAUUUUAUUUUAUAAACAGUAGAUUCUCGUUAUCCUUUACCCCUUUAUUUUCAGGGUUCGAAGCACUUUCUUUUAUCAGUACAUCAAAUCGGACACUUUCUGCUCGCAUGUGCCUAUUAUCAAUGUUAUGCAUAAAUUUAUGUACACACAUUUCAGGUUUUUUCUAUAAGAAAAAUUCAACGUACAGAAACAUAAAAUUUAUUACAUGCAGGAAAACGUACGUCAAUGAGUAUGGGCCUAAAACAGAUCCAGUUGUUCAGCGGAGAUGGGAGUGGGAGGAAUUAGUCAGGUGCCGCGGUAUUUUUUGGGAAGGGUAAUUACCGAAACCAGGAAAGCAGAAGAGAUUGAAAUUGAACAAGGAAAAAAAAAUUAACGGAGUUGUUUGAACCACCAAUAUUCGAGAUACAAAGCGAAGACCGUCACCUCAUCCAAUUGCGCUCGUGUAAAGGUGGCUCCAGACAUGUGGAAUUCACAAAUUGCCGAGCGUAAUCCAACUAGCGGGGACGGAUGCUUGGCUUUCGCUGAGCAACAAUAUUCGGUGUUGUUUCCUUAUCCGCUUCAAAGUGUACAAAUAUUUGCGAAGUAGCCAAAGUCAUAGUAUCCACAUAUUAGGGAAUAACCAUCAAUCAAUACUGAUAUUUAUUUUUCAAUAAUAAACAAUUCCUAACUGGUAUAGAUAUAUUAAUGAAAGAAUCAUAGCAUUAUUUCUGCCAGUUUUCCAACAAUAAUUUGGAACGCUUCUCUUCUGAUUUGCAAAAAUCGGGACGUUUUUGAUGGGUGAAAUGGAUCGAAAGUAAGAUGGGGCAACGUACUCAGUGAUUGAUUUACGACUUGUAGCCACUACACAAAACAGCAACCACAUCUGCAACAACAAAAAUUUCACAAUUGUCCACAAUUGGCGAGUUGAGGACUUGCACAGUGGCGAAUAUUCACUUUUCCGCACAAACUGGCUGUUUCUCCAAUUUUUUCUAUUGCCUGUUCCCAUUUUUCUUCUAUUUUAUCUUCUCCGUCUUCUUCUAUGCUUGAUGUGAUUCAUACUCAUUCCCACUCUCCAGAAAGCAAGUGAAAGCGCGGAUAAUGAGAGUCUACUGUUUAAUAAAGUAAAUUUAUCUGAAACUAACUACAGGAAAAUGUGUUUUUUAAAUUUUUUUUAUAUCCAUUUUUAAAGGAUGGGGUACGGAAGGGCGUACAAAUGAAUGUUUUUAAAUUCAAAUAUAUAUAUGUAUAUAUUUAUAAACUACAAAAUUGUACACGAAUGUAAAGGUACUCUCCCCUCAAAUAACAGUGCAAGCAAUGAUCUUUAGUAUCCUACCAGGUAAAGCGAUUGACUUUAAAGCUACCUAGCAUUCCUCAAUCAAUUUCAAUGUAUUAUUUCCUUUAUUAAAAAAAUUAAAUUAAAUUAAAAAAAAAAUAAUUCACACAUUGACUGUUUCAAAAAUGUUUUAAAUUCCACUGCACGAUAUCCCAAUAACACAUAUCACAUAAUUGAUGUUUUCUUGAAACUUCUUUGUCAUAUCACUAAAAAAAAGUUAACAAAAAAAGAAAAAAACACUAUCUCGCUCGUCACGUCUACAAAUUAAUAAAUAGUGCUACUAAUAAAAAGCCGUACUGAAAAUGUAAACAAAAGUGGCCUCUCUAGAGGAAAUUACCUUUGGUUUGACUUAAUACUAUGUAUAUUUGUCCCAGACCGCAGGGACGUAGGAGAGCAUAUAUCCAAACUAUACAAAACAAUUAUUUUCAAUUAUACACACAAAAAAGAAAAAAAAAAAAGAAAUAGUUUUCAAAUAAAAAUAGGCACCGUAGAGAUGCCUAUUUUGUCUAUACCAUAUAAAAUUAUGUAAAAAUU